rnacentral:lncRNA from 1 species
UAUAUAUGUUUUGAACAUUACAAGUGCUAAUUUUUAAUGUAAUAUAAAAAAAAAAGGCACCUGAUGACAUAAUCUAUUCAAGUCACAAUGUUCUACCGAAAAAAUCAAGAUCCUAAGCUUUCGCUCCAUACGGAAAUCUAAGUUGACCAGGCAGUUAUUCAUCUUUUCUAAAGCCUUAAAAUAUUGGCAUCUGGUCUGGAGGCUGUACACCCAGAGUUUUUAAAAGCUUAGCUCAAAGGUCUGCUAUGAAUGAAUAGUGCUAAUAGAGGGCUGUUCAAUUGAUAGUAUUAAAACUUGAAAUAAUCUCAAUUACUAUUAUCCUUUUUAUAUUGUUAUUUCAGCUGGAAUCAAGAGACCUGUCACCCAGGAGGACAAGGAAUGGGCACUGGCAUCCUUGUCACAACUUGGGCGUUUUACUGGGAUGGGGUGGAUUUUGAGUCCAGAAACGCCUCAGGUACGAUUUAUGUCUUUUGUAUGUUACCAGAAACAUCAAAAGUUACUGCCCUGCAUGUUUUUUGUGUCUCCCCACUUUCUCCAGGAGCUAAGUGGUAUGUUUUUUUCAAGGCAUGUGAUUGGGGAAUCCUCCAUGAGCAAAGGGCAAAUCAGCAAUAUACAGAACGCACUGGUGUCAUUAUCCAGGAGAGGGGAGUGUUCCUGUCUGACAGUGGCCUACUCGGUGGAUCUCCAGAUGGGACAGUAUCUGAUGACUGCAUCAUUGAGAAAAUCCUCUCGGUCCCUGCCUCCAGCAGCUGGAAGCGCCUCGCCUGCGACCUCGCUCGAGGGUCGGAGGGCGAUGUGCCGCAGAAACACCGUUGGAGCUGCAGAGGCGGGUAGCUGAUGUCUGACACACCGCUCUUUUGGAGACUGUCAACUCCCAGUGAGCCCGUCUCACCCUGGCCGCUGCACCGUGCACCCGCAGGUGACACUCUCCUCCGGGGAGAUGGGGGUUCAGUGUCAAUGUUUAACCCCUCGCGUCUAGCUGCAGGGCGGAGGGACCGCGGUUAUGUCUAAGUUUAUGUCAGACAACAAUGAACCAUGCAGUCAGAGAAACAAUGGCACUUUCUCAGCUUAACUAUGGUUGCACUAUUUAGGGUUCUAAUCCCGAAGGGGUAGAACCGGGUGACAGAGCUCCUCACCCUAUCUCUAAGGGAGCGCCCCGCCAAUUGCGGAGGAAACUCAUUUCGGCCGCUUGUAUCCGGGGUCUUAUUCUUUCGGUCAUGACCCAAAGUUCAUGACCAUAGGUGAGGGUAGGAACGUAGAUUGACCGGUAAAUCGAGAGCUUCGCCUUUUGGCAAAGCGUGUGAAAAACAGUAAAAUGAAUAGAACUUUUGAA